ensembl:lncRNA
CCACAUUUUACCUUAAUGAAGACGUAAUCUUUAAUAAGGUGUAGAAAAAAGAGGUGAGUUGUUUGUUGCUGUGGUAAACAAAGAAGUGUACUGAAUCUUUUGGACUACACAGAGUGAUGCAGUAUUGACUGUGAUGCUGAUUUGAGUUGUCUUAUUCUGUGUUUUUGUGCUUUGUCUUUUGUUACACAGAGUGAAAGAGAUCUUUGGUUUUGCCUUUGCUGACUGCUGAUCUGAUCGUCUCAGUCUGACAUUAUGAUAUACUGUUGUACCAGGUGACCUGCUGCAGAAAACCCUCUCCCUCUAUCAUUAACAAGCCAUUAACAAGCAAAUUCAGUCUGUCCUAUCACUCUCCCUCUCCCUGCUCCAUCUUUUUUGACAAGGGAUUCUAUCUUCUAUCAUUUCUCCGCCAUGUACUCUAUCUAAUUUUGACAAGCAUAAGCCCUAGUUUGACAAGAAACCAAGUUUGACAACAAACCAAGGUUGACAACAAACCAAGUUUUUGGAAAUUGAAGUUACCGCAACUUCGACGAUCUGUUUUCAGAAAUCUGAGAGAUCUCUGCUCUCACUGCUCCUUCUUUCCUGUCGUUAAACUCUCUCAUAUCCACUCAUUUUACUGGAAAUUACAAGUAAGAAGUUGAAUAUACAGUACAGUAGAAGUCACUGUAGAAACUAUUUACACAGCCCUAAAUUUGUCAUUUUAAUUUUGCAUUACACUUUGGAAUAAACAUUGAUUGGCUGUUUGGCUUACAGGUGCAAUUACUUUGAGAAAUUAUAUAAAAUAUACACCUCUUAAAGGUUUAUUUGUAAUAAGACAAUCUGGUUAUUUUGUAAUAUAUACAUUCAGACUGCUCUAUUUAGAUAAAUAUUAAAUUAGAUUCAAAUACAUUUUUCAAGUCUGUUUCACUGGCUAUAACAUUUGACUACAAGUUUAAACUAUUAUUAUUUAAGGACAAACCCUUUUUUUGUCACUCAGUGUAAGUAUUCAGUUACAAUUGUCAUCUAGAGGCUGCCCUGAGAACCCAGACUUCCUGUUUCCUGACUGCUGCAGAACAUCCAGCUGAAGAAUCCUCAUCGCCUGUCAUCUGAUCACUACACCACCACAGCUCCUUAUAUUUGCUUUAGAUUUUAGAUAUCUGAAAGAUUUACACAAAGUCUACUUUAAAACUAAGAGUUUAAUUAUAGCCUGUUGAUUGAUUGUUGAGAUUUAUUCUGCAUAUUACUUCACAGAAGUAUAGACCUAUUCAUUAACCAGUCUGGUUAAAAAAAAAAGUAUAAUAUACAGUUUUUGAAAAAGCUACAAUAAAACUUUUUAAAGAUCUUUCAAUAACUUUUAUAUUGAGUUUGUAUUUAAGUCAGCCUUUUACAUCAAUUAAACAGUUAUAAGAACACUU